GCCUGAGGUAGGCUUCAUAGAGUUCUAGGACUUCCGUGUGCGUUGCCACCAGAUCCUGCCCAGCAAUGGCCUUUCCCUUCUAAGGUCAUUAGAUUCAGCCAAAAGCGACCUCUUCUCUAGUCCGGUGUUACGAACAGAAGUUCUGAGUUGUGCUACAAAAGUAGUUCCAUCUUUUUGGUGUAAUUUUCAUGUUUUUAAUUUGAAAAAAAAAAAAAAAAAAAAACAACUUUUUAUAAGUUUUUUAAGGGCCCUGCUUAGUCAGUGUACAGGGUGGAGUCAGAGGCAGUUUUCAGAAAAAAACAAAAAACAAUUUCACCAAGCGGUAGUAAUUGUUGUUUUACUAGUUAUACAUUUAGAAUAUAAAGGAGGCAUCAGAAAACACACUCUCUAAAGCCACUUCCUUGUGCACAGAGUCUGCACAGGGAGAGCACAGGCAUCUCCCUGGAAAAGCACCUGCCAAUGACGAAUUUCAUGGAAGAACCUAGGCAAGAAAGGAAGCCUCUUUCUGAGACACAGUCUCUGAGAGGUGAGCCUAGCUUUGCUCUUCCUACAGGGUAUGCUUGGGCCAUACACAAUGCUCGCCUUACUUUAAAGCUAUUUUGCCACAGUCCUGUUAAAUAGUGUGGACGUCCUUUUGCAGUCUGGUGUGCAUGCCAUAUGAUCAGGACAGCUUUUCCACUUUACUCGGUUUCCUACAAGCAAGUAGGAAAUACAGUGAAUUUACCCUAAAAUGUCCAAUCUGUAUUUAUGUACCUUGUCAGUGUUUUGCUGUUGGUUUUCUAAAACAAUCUGAUCAAUAAAUCUUAUCC
rnacentral:lncRNA from 10 species